AACGAACGCUGGCGGCGUGCCUAACACAUGCAAGUCGAACGAGAAAGGGGCUUCGGCUCCGAGUAAAGUGGCGCACGGGUGAGUAACACGUGGGUAACCUGCCUCUAAGAGUGGGAUAACUCGUCGAAAGAUGAGCUAAUACCGAAUAAGACCACAGUUCCCGCGGGAACAGGGGUCAAAGGUAGCCUCUGCUUGCAAGCUAUCACUUAGAGAUGGGCCUGCGCACCAUUAGCUAGUUGGUAGGGUAACGGCCUACCAAGGCAAAGAUGGUUAGCUGGUCUGAGAGGAUGAUCAGCCACACUGGACCUGAGACACGGUCCAGACUCCUACGGGAGGCAGCAGUGGGGAAUAUUGCGCAAUGGGCGAAAGCUUGACGCAGCAACGCCGCGUGAGUGAUGAAGGCCUUCGGGUCGUAAAGCUCUGUCGGGAGGAACGAAUGCUCCUGAGGUUAACAGCCUCGGGAGGUGACGGUACCUUCAAAGGAAGCACCGGCUAACUCUGUG
rnacentral:rRNA from 1 species